CUUAAUUGGAAUUUGGUGUUUUGGACCCCUUUAGGGGCAUUUUUGUAAAAACCAAUUGUGGGGGCCAUGUGGCAUCUCUUUAGGGCUGACUUGUAGUGUGUGGACCCCACCAAAUUGUAAUUCUCGGUCAUAUAGGGUGUGAAUACCGAGCCACACACUUAGAGACCCAUAACUCAUGGUUUUUGCUUCUUUCUUCUAGGGUUUCUCUUGUUUUGAACAUGCUCUCAUGGUGCUUGUUUGGUGCCACGGUUUUGAGCCAUUUUCAAUGAUAUGAUGCAGAUUUACUUCUUCCCUUGACUUACUCUUGGUUGUCUUAACUCAUUGGUGGUGAAAAUCCGUUCACUCCUUCUUCCAUUUGCUUGUUUUUGAUGUUUGAAGCUUGAGCUUUUAAGCUUGUCUUUGUAUUUCCAUGGAGUUUCUUGGGUUUGAAUGAAGUUAUAUUUUCGUUUUCCUACUCAUUUGCUGCUGUUAUCCACGGUUUCCCUUGCAUUUUGGUUGGUUGGUUGAUGAAAAUGGAGUUCUAUGUGAGUUUUGGGUUGAAGAGAGCUUAAGGUGUUGUGUGGGUGUUGUGGGUUUGGCUCUUUUCUUCUAUAUUUCGUUUUGGAUGUUUGAAAAC
rnacentral:lncRNA from 1 species